rnacentral:rRNA from 1 species
AGAGUUUGAUCAUGGCUCAGAUUGAACGCUGGCGGCAUGCUUUACACAUGCAAGUCGAACGGUAACAGGGAGCUUGCUCCGCUGACGAGUGGCGAACGGGUGAGUAAUGCAUCGGAACGUACCCAGUCGUGGGGGAUAACGUAGCGAAAGUUACGCUAAUACCGCAUACGUCCUGAGGGAGAAAGCGGGGGACCGAAAGGCCUCGCGCGAUUGGAGCGGCCGAUGUCGGAUUAGCUAGUUGGUAGGGUAAAGGCCUACCAAGGCGACGAUCCGUAGCGGGUCUGAGAGGAUGAUCCGCCACACUGGGACCGAGACACGGCCCAGACUCCUACGGGAGGCAGCAGUGGGGAAUUUUGGACAAUGGGUGCAAGCCUGAUCCAGCCAUGCCGCGUGAGUGAAGAAGGCCUUCGGGUUGUAAAGCUCUUUCAGGUGGAAAGAAAACGCAUGGGUCAAUACCCUGUGUGGAUGACGGUACCAUCAGAAGAAGCACCGGCUAACUACGUGCCAGCAGCCGCGGUAAUA